GAAGAAUCCAUUUGCGAAGAAAACGAAGAACCCUAUGGAGCUUCUCCGAUCAAACCUUGCUCGUGUUCGGAUUCCAGAGCCGACUACUCGUAUCUACAAGCACGAGUGCUGCAUUUCUUUCGAUACUCCGAAAUCCGAUGGCGGGCUGUUUGUUGAUAUGAGUACUUUUCUUGCAUUUGGAAGGGAUUGUGUUGAUUGGAACUAUGAGAAGACUGGGAACCCAGUUUAUUUGCAUAUAAAGCAGACAAAGAAGGCAGAUGCUGAAGAUAGACCGUCCAAAAAACCCACUCUCUUGGCUAUAGGUUUAGACGGAGGGUUUGAUAACAGUGAACCCCAGUACGAAGAAUUCUAUGAAAUAGUUAUAUUGCCUGAUAAUGUCACUCUUCCUUUCCCAUCGGUGGAAUUGCCUGAGAAGGUUAGAUUGGCUGUUGAUGCUAUUUUACUAGCUGAAGGUGCUGAGAGGAAAGAGCAACUUGCUUCCUGGACUGCUGACAAGAAGCUUGUCAGUAAAUAUGCUACGGAUCUGCAACAGCUUGACAAUGGUGUUGCUGUUCCACCUGUGGGUUGGAAAUGUGCGAAAUGUGACAAGACUGACAAUCUUUGGCUGAAUCUAACUGAUGGAACUAUCCUAUGUGGUAGGAAAAAUUGGGAUGGAACUGGUGGUAAUGACCAUGCAGUUAACCAUUACAAAGAAACUGGUUAUCCACUUGCUGUAAAGCUUGGGACCGUAACUGCUGAUUUGGAGGGGGCAGAUGUUUACUCCUAUCCAGA
rnacentral:misc_RNA from 1 species